rnacentral:rRNA from 1 species
UGGGGAAUAUUGGACAAUGGGGGCAACCCUGAUCCAGCAAUGCCGCGUGUGUGAAGAAGGUCUUCGGAUUGUAAAGCACUUUCGACGGGGACGAUGAUGACGGUACCCGUAGAAGAAGCCCCGGCUAACUUCGUGCCAGCAGCCGCGGUAAUACGAAGGGGGCUAGCGUUGCUCGGAAUGACUGGGCGUAAAGGGCGUGUAGGCGGUUUACACAGUCAGAUGUGAAAUCCCCGGGCCUAACCUGGGAGCUGCAUUUGAUACGUGUAGACUAGAGUGUGAGAGAGGGUUGUGGAAUUCCCAGUGUAGAGGUGAAAUUCGUAGAUAUUGGGAAGAACACCGGUGGCGAAGGCGGCAACCUGGCUCAUGACUGACGCUGAGGCGCGAAAGCGUGGGGAGCAAACAGGAUUAGAUACCCUGGUAGUCCACGCUGUAAACGAUGUGUGCUAGAUGUUGGGUACU